rnacentral:misc_RNA from 1 species
GAUGAAGAACGCAGCGAAAUGCGAUAAGUAGUGUGAAUUGCAGAAUUCAGUGAAUCAUCGAAUCUUUGAACGCACAUUGCGCCCUUUGGUAUUCCUUAGGGCAUGCCUGUUCGAGCGUCAUUUAAACCUUCAAGCUCAGCUUGGUGUUGGGUGACUGUCCGCUUCACCGCGGACUCGCCCCAAAAUUAUUGGCGGCCGGUACAUUGGCUUCGAGCGCAGCAGAAACGCGAACUCGGGCCCGUCGUAUUGGCUCCCAGAAGCUAUCUUCACAAUUUUGACCUCGGAUCAGGUAGGGAUACCCGCUGAACUUAAGCAUAUCAAUAAGCGGAGGA